UACGGGGGGGGCAAGCGUUGUUCGGAAUUACUGGGCGUAAAGGGCUCGUAGGCGGCCAACUAAGUCCGACGUGAAAUCCCCAGGCUUAACCUGGGAACUGCGUCGGAUACUGGAUGGCUUGAAUUCGGGAGAGGGAUGCAGAAUUCCAGGUGUAGCGGUGAAAUGCGUAGAUAUCUGGAGGAACACCGGUGGCGAAGGCGGCCACCUGGACGGUAACUGACGCUGAGACGCGAAAGCGUGGGGAGCAAACAGG
rnacentral:rRNA from 1 species